AGCAGCCGCGGUAAUCCCAGCUCCAAUAGCGUAUAUUAAAGUUGUUGCAGUUAAAAAGCUCGUAGUUGAAUUUCGAGAUCAAAUUGUUGGUCGUGCCUCGGUACGUACUGGCAUUAUUGAUUUCUCCCUUCUGAAGAACCUUGAUGUCAUUAAUUUGGUGUCUUGGGGAAUCAGGACCGUUACUUUGAAAAAAUUAGAGUGUUUAAAGCAGGCUCACGCUUGAAUACAUUAGCAUGGAAUAAUGAAAUAGGACGUUUGAUUCUAUUUUGUUGGUUUCUAGGAUCGACGUAAUGAUUAAUAGGGAUAGUUGGGGGCAUUAGUAUUCAAUUGUCAGAGGUGAAAUUCUUGGAUUUAUUGAAGACUAACUACUGCGAAAGCAUUUGCCAAGGAUGUUUUCAUUAAUCAAGAACGAAAGUUAGGGGAUCGAAGACGAUCAGAUACCGUCGUAGUCUUAACCAUAAACUAUGCCGACUAGGGAUCGGAUGAUGUUAAUUUUUUAAUGUACUCAUUCGGC
rnacentral:rRNA from 1 species